GGGGCGGAGAGCAAGCGCCCGUCUAAAGGAGCCUGUUUUCUGUUUUAAAACAGCCAGAGGCGACAAUGUUUGCUGCACACGCUUUGCCCCAAACGGUUGCCAGGUGUGGGAUGAGGAGACGGCAGGAGCCGCCGUGUUCGUGGUGACCGUGCUUUCCGUCGCCUCGUGCAGGGCCAGACGCCUGGACCCGAAGUAAAACCCCCAACACAUGGAAGAUGUUAAUGAAGCAUUUUUUUAUUCUGGAAAGAAGACCACCAGACCACUGAGCACCAGCUUUGAAAACAACAUAAGCUUCCUCUGCCCUGGUCCUUAUCUGUGGCCGUUUUUUUCACUCCUCAAACUAUAAAACCACCUCCCAAGCUCCCCUAAGGGGGGCACCGUCUUUGAGGCAUUAGCCUGCGGUGACCCUCCUUUGCCUGGCAAAGCAAUAAAGCUAUUUUCUUCUCUUUUGCCCAACACUCCGUCUCCAUGUCUCUAUUUGGCACUGGUGGGCAGAGGCCGCAUCCUGGCAACAGUCUCUUUCAAGAAAAGGUUCAAAUCUAGAAGUGAAGAGAGCCAUGAAAAAAUUGUUCUCGUACAGUUUUUAAAGGUCAUUUUGAAAACAUGUUUCAUUUUCUGCCUCAGUGCAGACGCGGGCUUUUCUCUACUCAGUAAGAUCUUUGGCUUAGUUUUAUCAUCGCCAGAAAUAGGAUCUGCGUUCAGGAAAAAUGAAGAUCUGCUGACCCCCAGUUUGUUGUGACGGAAUGAACUCAAAUCUUCAACAGGAACGCAAAUAAAAUGAAUGUUAUUAAUGAAAAACGAGCCUAAAGAGAAUACGUAUGUUUUAUUUCAUAUCUGAGCUGAAAAGAUGACACAUAUCAUAUCAGACAUUCAUUAAGAUCCAGAAAUUUAUUUUAUUGAGCUAUAUUUUAAAUUAUCCUCUUGUCCGCUCCUGAGGGAUCUAGUGUAAGAAACUUUUAUUUCUUUUUGUUUCCAUCACUCUGAGAUCUAUCCUGUGUUAAAACACAGUACGUUGCUAAGAGCAACCUGUGGUCUUGACUUGAGCCAUCCCGGCUUUGCUCUCUCAUUGAAGUUGAAUGCAAUUCUACGGCUCAAUAUGAAUCAGAUGGGAUCUAAAAGUAGACCUGAAACUUCUCCAGAUGGUCAUGUGGAGCUCAGUGGGUGUAGUCCAUCGAGUCUCAAGAUUCUUCCGCACGACUUGUAUCUUCUGGAGAAACUACGUAUCAAAAACCUCAUGAAAAAUAAAAUAUUACCUGCCAUAUCAGUAAACAAGAAUGUCAGUGAUUUCAGCCACCUCAGACAGUGAGCAGAGCUGGUGAGCCCUGAGGGAACUCAGAAAGGAGACAAUACCUGCCAUCUAGCAGCCAUCAGACUCUAGCCACUCCGGAGGGUGAGCCCUGAGGAAAACUCAGGACGCAAGAACACAGGAUACUGGCCCUAGACAGCUGAGGUGCCUAUCAAAGGAACAAUUGCAGGGAGCCCAGCCUUUGCAUCUUCCUACACUAGAAAAGCUCUAAAAUCCUUGAGCUACCUGCCUUCUUUGAAUAGCAGUAAUCUUUUGCUCUUACUACUUGCCCUUGGUUGCAAAAUUCCUAUACAUCCUAGCUCCCCACUCAUUCAUAUGAGCAGGUUUUCUCAGGGUUACUUGAGAUGCUGCCUCUUGGGCUUAAGUCCUCAUCUCUCCCAGAAUAAAACUUAACGCUCAACUUUUAGGUUACACAUGUAUUUUUUUUUUAGUUGACACUCUCAAUGAGCUAUGUAUGUGUUAUUUGUGACAUAAAUUAUAACACAAUAAUAAUAAAUUAUAAGUUAAAUUCGAAGUGAAGAAUAACUGUUCAGUCAAGUUUAUUCAUUUAGAACGUAGCAUAUUUGGCAUUAAGCUAAAAUGCUAUUGAUAAAUAAAUAAAUAUCAUUAAUAUUUUCAUGGGAUAUUUGUUCCACAAUUCCAGACAGAUGUUUAAUGGACUUAUACACUAAGAUAUGAACUCCUAUAUUGUGAGAAUUAGGAAGGUUCUCUGAUAAUGCAAAUGAGAGGUCUUUUGGCUGAUUUGAGGUCAAGCCUCUAACUAUCACUUAACUAGUUGAUUAACAAACAAUGUGAAUUAUCCCUUGAUUAAUAACGCACUAUGCUAGCUGUACCCCUAAUUCCACUAGUAUUGAUAACAUUGAAUACAUAAAAUAGCCCAGGUAGAUGUGAUAAAGGAUUGACUGAAGGAAAUCCAAUCCUUGCAUUCAUCUUUAUAAUUGCAAAUUUAUACUUAAAUGGGAAGAAUAACAGAGCACUUUAGACCAGAACCACAAUGAUGUCAACAUCGCAUCCUUAUAAAAUUGUCUUUGCUGAAUCUUCAUUUCUUGUUAUGCAGGACACUAUAUGAAACAACAAGAAAAGUCAAUUGUUUUUAUUACAGAAAAUGCCGUAAGUUAUGACAAUGGGCUGUAUUGGUUAGGUCUUAUGAAAAAUAAAUUCUCCCAACUCAGCAUCAUAUACAGGACACUAUAUGAAACAAAAAGAAAAGUCAAUUGUUUUUAUUACAGAAAAUGCCGUAAGUUAUGACAAUGGGCUGUAUUGGUUAGGUCUUAUGAAAAAUAAAUUCUCCCAACUCAGCAUCAGAAACAUUGAGCCUUUCCAGAACAAGUUGUUUUGAUCAAGCUUUUAUAAAACUAAUAAUUCAGAAGUCUCUCCUUUUUUGUAGACAAAAUGGUUGAAGGAAAAUUUGAAUUCACAUUGUAGCAAUUUUUAAGAAGCAUAACAUGAAUUUCUGUUUCUGUAAUCAGACAAUAUUUCCUUUUUCAUAUUUUACUUGGCCUGAUUUUCACUAAUUAUAUAUAUAUUUUUCUUCUUACUUGUAUUUUUCUGCAACCUAUGUCAAUUUAACAGUUAAGUGAGUGGCAAGGUAAAUAAAUAAACAAUAGUAAAGUAAAAAACAGAUUUGAAUUGGCGCUAAGAUGAUAUGGAGAAUUUCCUAAAUAGUUUGAUUGAAGAGAGACAAUGAUUUUAACUAGAUCAAUCCUCCUUAAAAAAAAAAAAAAAGAAUAGUCUGGGACAGAAUAAUCAAAGUCUUAAACAUGACCAAAAUUCAUCUUGAAAAUGACCAGGGUCUUUUGGUUAUAACCUUUGAAAAAUUUUAAAGAAUUGUAUAACUAUGAUAUUGGAAAUAUGAAAGAAAAGUUCUGAUAUUUUCAUUCAUAAUGCAUGCAAUAUAUUUUUUUCACUUUGUAAUUAUGAGCAUGUAUCCCCACACAAUAAAAAUUGCAUCGA
rnacentral:lncRNA from 1 species